GAUGAACGCUGGCGGCGUGCCUAACACAUGCAAGUCGAGCGUGAACCAUCAGAAUGAAACUUCGGUCGAGUGAAGAUGGGGAAAGCGGCGGACGGGUGAGUAACGCGUAGGCAACCUGCCCCAUACAGGGGGAUAGCCUCGGGAAACCGGGAUUAAGACCCCAUAAUGCCAUAGCUUCACAUGGAGCGAUGGCCAAAGAUUUUAUCGGUAUGGGAUGGGCCUGCGUCUGAUUAGCUGGUUGGUGGGGUAACGGGCCUACCAAGGCGACGAUCAGUAGCCGACCUGAGAGGGUGAUCGGCCACAUUGGAACUGAGACACGGUCCAAACUCCUACGGGAGGCAGCAGUGGGGAAUAUUGCACAAUGGGCGCAAGCCUGAUGCAGCAACGCCGCGUGAGCGAAGAAGGCCUCGGUUGUAAGCUCUGUCUGAGGGACGGAAGGAAGUAGACGGUACCGUCCGGAGGAGCCGACGGCUAACUAACGUGCACGCAGCC
rnacentral:rRNA from 1 species